CCCUUCGAUGUUCUGGGCCGCACGCGCGCUACACUGAUGAAUUCAACAAGCAUCUUCCUUGGCCGAUAGGUCUGGGUAAUCUUUGAAAAUUCAUCGUGAUGGGAAUUGAGCGCUGGAAUAUGCGUUCAUGAACGAGGAAUGCCUAGUAAGCGUAUGUCAUCAACAUGCGUUGAUUGCGUCCCUGCCCUUUGUACACACCGCCCGUCGCUUCUACCGAUCGAAUGAUCCGGUGAAGUCUUCGGACUGCUGCUGUUCCUCGUUCGCGAGAAACGGUGGUGGGAAGUUGCCUAAACCUUAUCAUUUAGAGGAAGAAGAAGUCGUAACA
rnacentral:rRNA from 1 species